rnacentral:rRNA from 1 species
ACGAACGCUGGCGGCGUGCUUAACCCCUGCAAGUCGCACGGAAAGGCCCUGCUUUUGUGGGGUGCUCGAGUGGCGAACGGGUGAGUAACACGUGAGUAACCUGCCCUUGACUUUGGGAUAACUUCAGGAAACUGGGGCUAAUACCGGAUAGGAGCUCCUGCUGCAUGGUGGGGGUUGGAAAGUUUCGGCGGUUGGGGAUGGACUCGCGGCUUAUCAGCUUGUUGGUGGGGUAGUGGCUUACCAAGGCUUUGACGGGUAGCCGGCCUGAGAGGGUGACCGGCCACAUUGGGACUGAGAUACGGCCCAGACUCCUACGGGAGGCAGCAGUGGGGAAUAUUGCACAAUGGGCGGAAGCCUGAUGCAGCAACGCCGCGUGCGGGAUGACGGCCUUCGGGUUGUAAACCGCUUUCGCCUGUGACGAAGCGUGAGUGACGGUAAUGGGUAAAGAAGCACCGGCUAACUACGUG